rnacentral:rRNA from 1 species
GACGAACGCUGGCGGCGUGCUUAACACAUGCAAGUCGAACGGGGAAGUUGUGCUUCGGCAGAAUUCCUAGUGGCGAACGGGUGAGUAACGCGUAGGCAACCUGCCCUUCAGACGGGGACAACCAUUCCGAAAGGGGGUGCUAAUACCGGAUACGAAGCUUCUGCCGCAUGACGGAAGCUUGAAAGGCGCUUUCAAGCGCCGCUGAAGGAUGGGCCUGCGUCCGAUUAGCUUGUUGGUGGGGUAACGGCCCACCAAGGCGACGAUCGGUAGCCGGUCUGAGAGGAUGAACGGCCACAUUGGGACUGAGACACGGCCCAG